rnacentral:rRNA from 1 species
CAGGGGUACUCGAGUGGCGAACGGGUGAGUAACACGUGGGUGAUCUGCCUUGCACUCUGGGAUAAGCUUGGGAAACUGGGUCUAAUACCGGAUAGGAACCGUCUUUAGUGUGGUGGUUGGAAAGUUUUUUCGGUGCAAGAUGAGCUCGCGGCCUAUCAGCUUGUUGGUGGGGUAAUGGCCUACCAAGGCGUCGACGGGUAGCCGGCCUGAGAGGGUGUACGGCCACAUUGGGACUGAGAUACGGCCCAG